AUGGAUGCCAGCCGCUAUACCGAUGGGAGUGAGGGGCGCCGCCGCUGCACCAACGGGAGCGAGGGCCACCGCCGCCGCUCCUCCUCUGAUGGACGUACCGCACGGACGCGAGCGUGGGCUGCCGCAGCAGCCCGCCGGACCAUCUCUGACGAACCUGCACUUGCGACAACAAAAUUAAUAAUGACAAAAAUGAUGAACAUCAAAGUUCAUAGGCAGAAUCCUCAUGGUAGAUUUGGGUAA
rnacentral:rRNA from 1 species